AGAGUUUGAUCCUGGCUCAGGACGAACGCUGGCGGCGUGCUUAACACAUGCAAGUCGAACGGUAAGGCCCUUCGGGGUACACGAGUGGCGAACGGGUGAGUAACACGUGGGUGAUCUGCCCUGCACUUUGGGAUAAGCCUGGGAAACUGGGUCUAAUACCGGAUAGGACCACGGACUGCAUGGUCUGUGGUGGAAAGCUUUUGCGGUGUGGGAUGGGCCCGCGGCCUAUCAGCUUGUUGGUGGGGUGAUGGCCUACCAAGGCGACGACGGGUAGCCGGCCUGAGAGGGUGUCCGGCCACACUGGGACUGAGAUACGGCCCAGACUCCUACGGGAGGCAGCAGUGGGGAAUAUUGCACAAUGGGCGCAAGCCUGAUGCAGCGACGCCGCGUGGGGGAUGACGGCCUUCGGGUUGUAAACCUCUUUCAGCAUCGACGAAGCGUAAGUGACGGUAGAUGCAGAAGAAGCACCGGCCAACUACGUGCCAGCAGCCGCGGUAAUACGUAGGGUGCGAGCGUUGUCCGGAAUUACUGGGCGUAAAGAGCUCGUAGGUGGUUUGUCGCGUUGUUCGUGAAAACUCACAGCUUAACUGUGGGCGUGCGGGCGAUACGGGCAGACUGGAGUACUGCAGGGGAGACUGGAAUUCCUGGUGUAGCGGUGGAAUGCGCAGAUAUCAGGAGGAACACCGGUGGCGAAGGCGGGUCUCUGGGCAGUAACUGACGCUGAGGAGCGAAAGCGUGGGGAGCGAACAGGAUUAGAUACCCUGGUAGUCCACGCCGUAAACGGUGGGUACUAGGUGUGGGUUUCCUUCCUUGGGAUCCGUGCCGUAGCUAACGCAUUAAGUACCCCGCCUGGGGAGUACGGCCGCAAGGC
rnacentral:rRNA from 1 species